rnacentral:rRNA from 1 species
AGCACCUCAAGUGGUCAGGAUGAUUAUUGGGCCUAAAGCAUCCGUAGCCGGCUCUGUAAGUUUUCGGUUAAAUCUGUACGCUCAACGUACAGGCUGCCGGGAAUACUGCAAAGCUAGGGAGUGGGAGAGGUAGACGGUACUCGGUAGGAAGGGGUAAAAUCCUUUGAUCUAUUGAUGACCACCUGUGGCGAAGGCGGUCUACCAGAACACGUCCGACGGUGAGGGAUGAAAGCUGGGGGAGCAAACCGG